UCUUCCACAGUCUCGGUGGUUGUGUCCUCUCCAGGCAAAUACGCGCUUCCUCAGGUGCCACCGUGCGAUUCUGCCACCCUCACUUCGGCUCUCCGCCGCCGCCGUCCUCGCCUCCGGCACCCGUCACCGCACGCCGAAGCCGUCCUCACCCCGAUAGAGUACAGACAUGGGAUCAUUUACAGAAGAGAAGAAGACUACUUUUUCUUGCGAGAGAUGAGGUGCUUAUUUUGUAGCAUCGCUGCUUAAGGUGGCCUCUGGUGCUUAACAUGCUUAAGGAGGCACAUCGAAUUGAUAGAUAGCACGCCAAUCCAUCAUAGCACAUACUUAGGUUUUAGAGAUGGUUGCAUUAGAGAAGGAAGAGGGCGCUUAUAUGGCUACAUUAUCUCUCUUUGAGCACCCAUGUGGCCAUGUAAGAGCACUUUGCAUUUCAGAUGCCUUAAUGAGGACCACAGUUACUGAAAAAAUAGAAGAAAUAUGUGCUGAGAGGACCACCCAACUUGCAAGAGAGUGGUAUACGGAUGAAGUCAAGAAAUAUGCACCGGUGGCCAUCUCUAUUACUGUGGCACCAUGCAACACGUUGAUCCUAGAGGAUCCUUUGACAGAAUGAUAUAUCGCUACUUUGAUGUACAGCAACAUGCUCGAUGCUGAGGGAACCAUCAUCCUUCCGAGGCAUCGCUGUAUACAAUUCGUCAUGGAAUCAAUCCGUCAGGAGCCACGAAUGCAAACGUCCUUGUUGCAGGAGCCAUGAGUGCCCCUUGAGAAGUUGAGGAGUCAAGAACUAAGCAAACACUGAAAAGAAUCGAAAGGAUUCUGGAGCAAUGGAGAUUGCUCUACAGAACACUAGCUUUCUCUCUCUCCCUUUCUUUUCCAGGUGAAGUAUCAAGGCAGAUAUAGGGGAUAAGGAUAUCUCUAUCCAAAUAUUCAUUCUUCCGUGCUUGCGCUGAGUGUUUGCGUCAUGUAUGAAAAAAAUGAAAAAAAGAAGGGAAAAGAUCAGAUAAUAUCUGACUUUCUUCAUAUGCCUGCAGCAUCAUACAGGUAGAUAGCAACUGUGCCACGACAUCUUUUUGCUCUAACCUUCCUAGCUUUAGCUCGUAGAAGAGUUUUGUAGGGAAGGAUUCAGUGAGGGUAUGAAAAAGCAAGAUUGCACCGUCGGAUCGUGGCAUCGCAACGCCUCAUAUCAGAUAAGGUCAGGCUGGUUUACAAGCAGAAGCAGCUCAAUCUGCUGAGAAAAGCCGCGGGCAAGUUGGUCAGAUUCCGUGCCACAGAUAAGGCCGGUCAGUGAGGUGAUGAGGGCUGGCUAUUUGGAUGCUAUUCUGAAACCUGAGGUGAUCGAUCCCUUGUUCCUUAGAAACCGGCUUGAUCAGGUCAGAAUCGGUUCCAUGUGUCGUAUGACGAAGCAUUGGCCGUACCAUACUGGUAUUCCCCAUCUUCUUCGGCACAGUUCUUGCUAUGACACACGCAUUUUCUGUAGAGUUGUGUUGGGAGUAGCGGCGUCUGUGGUGUUUUUCAGGCUGAGGUAGGCGUGCACUGUGGCCUGUGGCAGGUGGAGAAUGCAGGAAAUUUCAUCACUGCAAUUUGCUGUGCCAGUAAAUACAACUUUCAGAAUUAUAGUCGAUACGAUUGUGCAUCCUUAUAACUCUAUACUAACAGCUCAUUCUGAUGAGGUCUGUCUGAUUUAACUGAGAGACAAAAAGAAAAAAAUGUAAUUCCCGUUUGGAAUGGGGAAACUUUCACGACUC